rnacentral:rRNA from 1 species
UGCGUAGGCUGGCUAAUAAGUCAGUGGUGAAAUCUUUCGGCUCAACCGAGAAACUGCCAUUGAUACUGUUAGUCUUGAGUUCGGUUGAGGUAGGCGGAAUGUGUAAUGUAGCGGUGAAAUGCUUAGAUAUUACACAGAACACCAAUUGCGUAGGCAGCUUACUAGACCGACACUGACGCUGAGGCACGAAAGCGUGGGGAGCGAACAGGAUUAGAUACCCUGGUAGUCC